rnacentral:tRNA from 1 species
GCCUGGCUGGCUCAGUUGGUAGAGCGUGCGACUCUUAAUCUCAAGGUUGUAAGUUUGAUUCCCCAUGCUGGGUG